CUGCACGCUUUAGUUGUGAAGCAAAAGCGCUGAAAUCGGAGUAAUAGCACGUACGAAAGGGAUGAUAACGACGACUAGAUUCUCCCGAUCGUUUACCCUUGCUGUCCUGUGAAAAACAUCGGCGUAGUGUUAAUUGUUUGCUGUUUUCGCGAUCGCGUCGCGCAUGAGAAUAUCACCAGGUAAACUCGCAACAUUUUUAAACAUUUUGUUGUUCAACAGCAUCAAGACUGACGGAGUGUGUUUGAGAUAACCUCACAAGUGUCACAGAUGACACAUUUGGCGGGGUUUUUUUGCUGGUUUGUCGGUAGCAGCUCCUGAAACGCAAGUGUGCCACACAUCUGUUCGACCAAAUCCAGUUAAUCUAAGCGCCAGUUAAUCUGGAACACCGACGGCGUCUCAGAUUUGGCCGGGGAAGAUGCACUAGGGCCUUCUUCAUUACGAGAUCCUGGAAGCACUGAUCAGUGUAAUCUUGGAGAGCCUCUAAACUCUCCCCGUUGUUCUCCAGGGUGUUGGAGAUGAUUUAGACAAAUGCUGUUAGUUAUAAGACAAUUUAUAAGUGUAUUUGGUAAUACUGAAGCUUAAAGGAAUUUGUUCAAUUCUAAACUACCAUUCACUUUAAGUCCGUCACUUUUACAUACUUUAUAUUCAUUGCAGGUAAGGUAUUCCAGAUGCCCUCAUCUUCAGCAACACUUUGCAGAUCCUAUGAGAUGUUCCCAGCCAAAAUAAUGUGUAAUUUCUCCAGCAGGUUCUGGUUUACUCUGGAUUUUCCUUCCAAUAGGAAGUGUGUCUGGAAAAAAACCCCAGGGGGUCAGUCAGGAAGCAUGCAAAACAGAUACCUAAACCACAAUGGUUAAAGGAGUCUGAUUUUCAUGAGCAUCAUAGCUCAUGAAAAUCAGAAAUGCAGUGUUAAAAUAGCACAAUAUUUCCUAAGAUCCAGAAAAGCAUUUACAAUGCAGAAAUGUCCAGUUUCAUUUCAUUUAUGCGUUCAGGUAGAGCUUCUUUUUUUUUUUUUUUUUUUUUUUACCACAAAUUCAUGCCUCAUGGUGGUGUGGCAUGGAGACAAUCAGCUUGUGGCACUGCUGCGGUAUUACUAGGGGCCCCGGAUGAAUUGAUAAUUGUCUUCAGCUCCUUUAUUUCUGGGUUUCUGGGUUGCCUGUUUCUCAUCUUCCUCAUUGAUUUUCAGUGGGAUUCAAGUCUGGCGAGUUAGAUGGCCAGCCAAGCAAAGUAGCCUAAUAAAAUGAUCAGCAGCCUAAAUGGUAGUAAUUUUUGUUAGCAGAUAGAACUAUAAAGUUCACACUUCACACCGGACUUCAAACACCUUUGAUUCUUCGGCUCUCCACUUUUCCUCAUGACUCAAAGACUUUGAAUUUCAAAUGAAAUGCAAAGUUUACUUCAGACCACUGAGCAGCAGACUUCUUUUUCUCCUUAGCCAACAUAAAAUCUACUGAUGCUGUCUCUCAUUUAGGAGUGUCUUUCCAUUAAUCAACUCAAGUCAACUUCCCAUUAAUAUGCUGUAGUUUUUAGCAGUUAGCUUCUGUGGAUUACCCUUCUUGCCAGAGGGUUUCGAUCAUCAUCCUUUGAACAGCUGUCAGUUUCCAGCAUUACAUGUUGAAACCUAAAGGACUGGCUAUUGCAGUUGUGGCUCAGUAUGUCAUCAUGCCUCUUACAGCCUUUUUCAUAGCUAAGGUGUUCCAGUUCAGUGAUAUAACAGCUGUGGUUAAUCUGGUCUGUGGCUGCUGUCCUCGAGGAACUCUCUCUAACACCCUGACUCUGGGUCUACAGGUGGACAUGAACCUCAGGUGCAUACACAAAGUUAUGCAGUUAAUUGGUCAAUGUUUAAAUAACACACUGAUAUAUUUUUCUAACAUAACUGAUUGACUUGAUAUGUUAGCUUUUCUGUCUAAUCUCACCGGUCUACAAAAAUAUCCUUUGUUUGCUACUGGGAAUUCAGACCAGCUCUACAUCUUUUUUUUUUCUUUUUUUUUCCCACACUGACUCAAGUAAGAACUAAGAGCAGUCAGUCAUCAUGUUCAGAUUAAAUUUUCCCUGAUAUUCAUUGCCUGUCACUUUUAUAUCCUGAUGUUCAUCACUGAAAAUGCCCAAAUUUGAUGGAAAAAAAGUUGAGAUGAGAAUGGAAAAAGUUAAUCUUUAGUGAUAUUCUGGCACCCAUUAGCAGAUGUGCUUUCAGCACAUUAUCCAUGAGUUCACCAUUGUUAUAUGCUCUAUAAAUGCCAAGAAAAUUCCUGGCAACCUGCACUAAUGCUUUCUGUGCUGCUGACUCAAUCAGUUUUCUUUUUGAACUCAUUGUCAAGCAAUAGUGCAUGGAUUUCAGGACCAAAAAAACACCUUUCCUACUUUUGGUGACGAAACGUAUUUAUUAAAUGCUGAAAUGAAUUGCACUUUCUGUCCAUUCUUACUAUUGUCCGAUAUUUCCAGUGUCAAGAUUAUUACCUGAUCAGCCAUAGAAAUUAAAAAAAGAUGCAAUACAUCUGUGUUGCAACAUCAAUUAAAUGUUCGUCAUCACGGGGGAAAUAUCUGCCAUGUUUUUGUGUACGAUGUCAGGAACUUAGUGGUAAAGUGAAUGUUCCCAGUCAGAAGUCCUUUUUUCACAUGAAUACACAAUAAGGACGGGAGUAUACAAUUACUGGGCACUGCAUUAGGUACACCUAGUAGUACCAGGUCAGAGUCCUUUUUGUCUUCACGACAACGUUAACCCUUUUUGGCACAGAAUCAACAAGGUGCUGGAAACAUUUCUUAGAGCUUCUGGUCCAUAUUGACUUGAUAGCUUCACAUAGUUCCCGCUGAUUUGUCGACUCUAAAUCUUCUGCUCCAUAAGAGCCCAAAGGUGCUCUAUUCAAUCGAGAUCUGGUGACUGUGGAGGUCAUUUGAGUAUAACAAGCCCAUUGUCAAAUUCGAGAAACCAGUUUGAAAUUAUUUAGGCUUUCUAACAUGGUGCAUUAUUUUGCUAGAGGAAACAAUCAGAAAAUGGGCACACUACAAAGCAGGAUGAAUUGAGUUGAACUCAGUUUUAUUUAUAUAGCACCAAAUUGCAACAGUUGCGUCAACAACAUGGAUCCAUGAUUUCAUGUUGUUUACGCUAAAUUCUUACAAUAUCAUCCAAAUAUGUCUGCAGAAAUUGAGACUCAUCAAACAGGCAAUGUUUUCCUACUUUUCUGCAGCUGUAAGCAAUCUGCUUCACGUCUUAACCUCCUAGGACUUGGUGUCCACAUAUGUGGACAUCACAUUUUGGGUUGUCUAGACCAAAAUACUAAAUUUUGCUCUACAAGGGCCUGAUAUCCACUUACAAGGACAUUAUACUGCCUCUGUUUUAUAGAAAUUUAAAACGAAUAUCCUCAUAUGUGGCUCUCAUUUUUCUUAGAAACAAAAAUCAGGUAAAAAAAAAUAUCUGGUGAUUCCUUGUUUUGACAUUCAUCGGGUCCUAAUUUGCCCAAAUAUCAAAGAGAAAUUAAAAAUGCAUGCCAUGAAAGAGUUCAGGUCUUAGGAGGUUAAUUUGCUGAAUGUUCAGAGAGGCUCUUCUGCAUACCUUCUUGUAACAAAUGAUUACUGUUACUGUAGUUACUGUUGCCUUCUUAUCAGAUCAAAGCAGUCUGGCCAUUCUCCUCUGACAUCUGGCAUCAACAAGGCAUUUUCCCCUAAAGAGCUGCCGCUUGCUGGAUAAUCUUUUCCUUUUCUCUGUAAACCCCUCAUGCCUAAAUGCAUUCAGUUGCUUUCCCUCACUCAGUUGCUUUUACUUAUUUCAUAUUUGUAUUAAUCUAAUGUAAAAGAAUGUAAAAGUAAUGUAAAAGAACCCACCCAGCACUUUAUUUACACUCUAGCUCUUGUUUUAACAUAUGGCACAGAAAUUGAACAUUUAACAGUGUUUCCUGAAAACCCUCUCUUGUCAACAUAGAAUAGAAUAGAAUAGAAUAGAAUGCCUUUAUU